rnacentral:rRNA from 1 species
UAUGGCAAAGGAGUAGCACACUGCUCAGUAACACGUAGCUAACCUACCCUUGGGAUGGUGAUAACCCCGGGAAACUGGGGUCAAUAACCAAUAGAUAUGGAUGCCUGGAAUGGUUCCAUAUUGAAAUGUUUGUACACCCAUGUCGUGUACAUACACCUGAGGAUGGGGCUGCGGCCGAUCAGGCUGUUGGUGAGGUAACGGCUCACCAAACCUUUGACCGGUACGGGCCAUGAGAGUGGUAGCCCGGAGAUGGGCACUGAGACAAGGGCCCAGGCCCUACGGGGCGCAGCAGGUACGAAACCUCCACAAUUCACGCAAGUGAGAUGGGGUUACCUCGAGUGCCGCCUGAAUAAGGUGGCUUUUCCGCUGUGUAACAAGCUGUGGGAAUAAGGGGGGGGCAAGACUGGUGUCAGCCGCCGCGGUAACACCAGCCCCCCGAGUGGUGGGGAUGUUUAUUUGGCCUAAAGCGUCCGUAGCCGGCUCUGUAAAUCUCUCGUUAAAUCCAGCGUCCUAAGCGUUGGGCUGCGAGGGAGACUGCAGAGCUAGAGGGUGGGAGAGGUCGGCGGUAUUUCUGGGGUAGGGGCGAAAUCCAUUGAUCCCAGGAGGACCACCAGUGGCGAAGGCUGCUGACUUGAACACGCCUGACGGUGAGGGACGAAAGCUGGGGUAGCGAAUCAGAUUAGAUACCCGAGUAGUCCCAGCCGU